UUUUCUGCUAUAAGUUUUUUUUUUCUUUAUGUUGGAUAUUUACAUUAUUCUGGUCAAUAUUGCAGUUAUUUAACGUACAAUGUUCAAGAAAAGCUGGAUUAAUUCUACGAUGUUUUAAAUCUGCUAUAUGUUCCUUUAAUCUAAUCUUCAUCUUUCUCAUGGUUUCUCAUAUGUAAAUUUUUUUAUUUUCACAUGUACACGGGAUUUGGUAUAUGAUGUUUUUUAUCUCAUUUACUUGUUGUUUUGAUAUGGAUUUAUUAGUAUUUAGUCUCGCAAAAAGUUUUUUAUACUUCGCGGCAAGUUAUACAUUGGUGUGCUUUAUCUCCUUAUUAAUUUUUUCGUAUAAACCUCUAAUAUAAGGGACUACAAUAUAUUUAAUUUUAGUCUGCUCUUCAUUUUGUCUAGGAGUCUUUUCAUUGUCUAUUCUGUUCACGUUAGGAUUCUCUUUGUUAUUUAUUCUAUUAUUUAUUUUAUCUUUCCUAGUUUCAAUUAGUCUGUUAAGAUAUCUAUCUAACAAGAAUUUCUUCUUCAAGUUUUUAAUAUUAUGAAGAAUUUUGAUUUUAUCGAACUUUUAAUUCUUAGAUGCAACGCUCAUUUCUUUUAUAUCAUUUAGAAUCAUUUUGAGGAAUAAAAAGUUUAUGGUUAGAUUCUAGAUACGUAUACUGUCUUGGCACCCGUCCCGACUGUUUAUACAUAAGACUGACACCUCCCAGAGGGAGCCGCCUUGUGCCAAACGUUACUAGUUAUUGAUUUACAAUAGUUAUUGAUUCAUGGUUGUUCUUGAACACACGUAUUAAUAACUAGUAUGAAGUGUUGCCAUGACAGUAUAUGUAUCUAAAAUUUAACCAAAUCUAUGUACUGUUAUGCUGUUAACGAGAUGAGUUUUUAUAGUAUCCAAAAAUUUUUGCUUAAAUUGAAAACCAAAAGGUUUUUGUGUUUUGGCAAAUCAAAGUCAGUUCGAGAAUCCCUUUGUUUGUCAUUAAACAUUUCAAUAUAAUCAAUAAACACUAUGAUUUUGAUAAUCUACAACUAUUUAAAUCACUCGAAUUCCACUCCUGAAAAAUGUGGCUGGGCAUCAAACAGUGUACAAAGAAUAUGAAGAGUUUCUUAUGUCGUAUAAUAAAGUAUAUUUUAAUACAAUACAGAAAACGUUGUGAGGUUUGCCGAUUCUGUGAAAAGUGUCGCGACAGUUGAGCGGUCAGCUCUGUCGCGUGGGCAUGGCGGAACUCACAGAGACAGGCUUUCCCAUUUUCACCCGUUUAAUAACAUCAAAAUAGUCACUUACAAAAACUUUGAAAUGUCGGGAUCCUGGUUGUAACAAUUAUAGAAUAGUCCAACAACGUGUAAUGUCUGUCGGUCUCAGACUUCCGAUCCUGGGCUCCCUUGUAUGGGUUGCCCUUGUAUGGUCACUCGUUGAUCCCGGAGAGAGCUUCUGUGUCGAUACUAGAUUUCCUUCAUCGGUUGUCGCCCUUGUAUGUUGAUUGCUAUCUAAGGUACAUGGAGUCCCUUCUUAACGUUCUAAUGCUACACACACAUGACUGAAGUAGAGGAGUCACUAACUAGACAUCCAAGAACCAAGGACGCCACAUCCUUUUUUCUCGCGAUUUUUAUAAAUUAUUUUUGUGUCCCAGACCAAACAUUUUGAUAGAGGUCGAUGUUGACUUGCCCUUGCUCUCCAAUUGGUCCCCCUCCUCAUUACGAAUUGUAACGAGAUCGGAACCCAGAUCGUGGGAUGAGUCAACAUCGACUGGCAAUUAGAUUCCUAUCGAAGAUGUUCGAUCUAAGCACUCAAAUUCAUCUAUUGUUUUAAUCUGAGUAGUUCGAUUUUCUUAGAAAUUUCUACAGACAUGUCCUUAAAUGGACAUAAAAUAUUCAUUUUUUUGUUUGAUGGUUUCUUUUUACAGCAUUAUAUUAAUUAUUAUUAUUAUUUCCUUCUAUACAAAAAUUAGAAAAAAUUAUCUUUUUUUUCCACAAGUUUUAGGCCCACUUUCGAAGCUUCAUGCAUUACAAAAUGACGAACAAUAAACAAAUCAUCUUGAUACCAAUUAUUAAAUGGAUAUUAAUCAUCGUGAAGAGGACACGCCGUUCGUGCUACUUCGUUGCUCUCGUUUUUUUGCUCUAACGGUCCAUCUUUUUCCUGCCUGUGCACGACAUCGGACUCGAUCAAGUCAUGUCAAUGUGGGGGACGGGCACCACACAUAUAUAUAUAUAUAUAUAUAUAUAUUGUCAUGUAUGCGUUCUUUUACCUAUAGCCUCGAAGAUUUGUAGAUUGUUUUUGAGAUGCGUUGCAGUUCUUAUUUUGCUAUCCUCUUCAUAUGUCUACUUCGGCUACUUUAAUAACGGCAUAAAGCAAUUAGGCAAUGGUACAAAUGAGCACGAAGUAUGCAAUUGUGAAGUUUUUCUUCAUAAACCUGACAGUGCAUUUCAUCAGGUUUAUGAAGUCAGUUACUUCAUGCUUAUUGCUUUCACAAAUUAACUUUGUUGCUUCUUGUUGAGAACACGGUUUGCGGAAUUAUUUUCAUUUUUGAAAGUUUCGUUUCUAUCUAAUGUUUAAUUUCAACAAAUUUUAAGAUUAAGGACUCCAGAUUUACUCGUCACGUGACAUAUUAUCUGAUGAGGUUAAACUGUCGGAAUACAGUUUGUCAAGCCCUACUUUGACCGUUUAACCCGAAAAAAGUUUAUUUGGUUGUUUACGUAUUAUUGAACUAUUUGAUUAAGUCAGGUCAAUUUUUGUUCCUCUUAAUCAAUAAUGUCUUCUGUUAAAUUUACUGGUGUUUGAAUAAAAAUCCCAAAAUCAUCAUGAGUACCUACUAUAACUAAUUGUAAUGAAUUGUCACUUGUAAAAAAAUAAUACUAUUUAUUUUGUUGUUAUUAAAAAAAUGUAUUUAAAAACUCACAAAUGGAAGGUAAUAUGGAAUUGUCGGGUAAUAUGGAAUAGUUGGUUUAAACCAUUGAAAAACUAAUUAGACUUCAUAAAACAUAGUUAUUCUUAACUAUAAAAACCAUAUUUCUAAGAUUAUGUGCAUGUCAUUCCUGCUUCGAGUUUACUGUAUUUACAAAAGUCACAGAUAUAAUUUUUUUUUCUGCUCCGGUACAAUCAAGGUGAGCCUAUAGAGAACAGCUGAAGCAUUGAAUUCAAAUUUUCCGUCGUUCAUCUUUGGAGAAUUUUCUGUUACAGAAGAUACAUUCAGCGUCUUCGUUUUCUGGUUCUUUAGUCGAUGGCACGAAGUCCAUUACAGAUGAUACAUCAGAAUGGAACGAUUCAUCGCUGCAAACACUGGAGUCAUCUCUGGUAGGUUUAGGUCUAGAAGGUCGGUCUAAGUUUAAUUUCUUAACAGGUGGUCUUUGAAUGUUCAGUUUGUUUUUUUGUUUUGAAGCUUCUGGUUCCUUCUUUUUGUUUUUUUUCUUUCAAUUUAUACAAUUAUCCUAGUAUUCCAUAAUACCCAAUACGCCACCUUGGAAAAUGAACCUUUAAACUGAUGAACAAAACAUUGUCAGCUAAAAACGACUACAGUAUAACAAACUUCAAUUUCUUUAGUGUACAUUAUGCUUAACAUCAAUGUUCAAGUCACAUGUAUACUACUAGGUUAAAAUGUUUGAAAAUUUGCCUGCAAAAACUCUUGAAAAUCACAAAACACACUUUGUUCUGUAUCGAGUGUUACGACGACAACAAGCAAUCAACUCUCACUGCACUACAUCGUGGGAGACUUUCUUGAGUAGUUCAUGUUUUCCCAUGUAAUAGCAGCAACAAACAGAGCCAAAACCUCGAUAUUUCAUAAUACCCUCCUCUCCUCUAUAUAUAAUUUAUUUGAUUAUGAGUUGUGUUCGAUAAGUUAAUUAAACACAGUGGAAAUAAUACAGACAGUAUUGUAUUUAAUAAUAAACAACAAAAGUUUCUUGGAAGAUGUCACUUUUUCAGAUUAUGCUUCUAGUUUUUAAUAAAUUAGUAGAUAGAAACAUAUUUCUAGUUAAAAGGUACAGAACUUCAAAACAAAAAUAAAUAAAAAUUGUUAUAUAUACUGUGAACCAGAGGGGAGGUCAGAAGUCACCGCCUCUGUCACUAGUGAGGAUGAUACGUCAGGCGAGUGGAGGGAGUUGUUGCUUGGGGUCGACGAUAAGGUGAAGGGCGUGAUCGAGUAAAGGUGUCUACCAUAUUUAAACAAUAUAACAUCUAUUUAUUUAAAGGAAGCCAAAUGAGAAAAGACUACAUCAACUCUUAGGUACAGUACACUAGUAAAACACAAAUUCUGGCCAAACAAACAAAAUAGAUGGCCAAUCUACGAUCGUUCGAUAAAGAUGCUCUAAAGGGGCAAGUGAUCGCGUCGGCAAUUAGCCCCAAAGAAGCCAUACAGUUUAUCGACGUAGAAAAUCAGAAACGUGCUGUCAUAAACUGCCCUAAAGAGAGAGUUCAUUGUUCUAUCAUACCUCUUUAUACAGUUCCCCUCAACGAUUCGAGCGUGGGGGCACUUAGGUAUCAAUCCAAGGAAUAAGGUAGUUAUAAUCCACUUUCGACACAAAUUACAUAGAUCUGCGAAUUCGGCGAAGAUGAGGGUUCGAGAUUCAUCGGAAUUCGGUGGGUUCAGAGAAUCGGCACGAUGUCGUUGGUUUGGCGUUCGUUAAGAGACUCCCCGAGAGGGGGUAAGAACUGUCUUUUAUAGGUUAUUGUGGGGAAUUUCCACCAUGUGAUAUGAUGUUCAUGAGUUAAAGGUUAUAGGUGGUCCCGGGAUCUAAAACAAGGGACGAAAGUUGGCUGUUAACUGUAAACUUUUCUGCAAGAUGAUCCAUAAGUUCUGCAGAGAACAAUAGAUGUUGAUAGUUAUGACAGGAAUGUUUACACAGUCCCGGCUAAGAUCGAUUUUUUUCCCCAAUUCAUUACAUAAACGAAAGUAAAGUAAUUAAAAUUUUAGUUAAUAAAAGAGCGUGAUUUGCAUCACUGAAAUUCCGGAUCUCACAUACUGUAUACUAGUCCUUUUGUUUCUUUUCCUAUAAAAUGUUAAUUUAAAUUUUUAAUUGUUAAAUUAGUUUAUUAAUUGUUAAUAUGUUAUCAUGCUAAGUCAAAAAAUCCCAUUCAGUAGUUAGUUUGGACCUCUGAAAAAAUUCUGUAUCAAUUUCAUUAAAUUUGAAUGUGUAAUUAGAAUAAAUUAUUGAAUAAAAAUUAUAAAUAAUUUUCAACAAAAUAACUAUAAAAAUUAUAUUUAUUAAUAAGACUAUUUUUUAAUGCUUUAUAAUUUUUCUUGCAGUAAUUCUAUUUUUAAUUGUUGUUCUCUUUUUUCUUCUUGCAGGAGUUCAAUUCUACAGUCAUUCCCUCUCUUUCUUCUUACAUUUUUUUUUUUCAUAAAAUUCGUAUUAGCUCUAUGUUCUUCUUUUAAAAAAUGCAUUCGAGCUUUGUGAUACUCUAGUGCAUAUUUAUCAACAAUUUUAAAAUUACUUGGUGGAUUAUUAUUUGGUGGUUCAUUUGUUGUUGGAUCAUCAGAAAAUUAUGAUAGAUUCACUAGACAUAAAUCUUGUACGAGUACCUGAAAACAUGCAUGAUAUGUAAAUGAACAUUAUUUAAAAUUAGAUUAGCUCUAAAAAUUAAUUUCUUUUUGGCUAAUUAGUUUUUAGUAUCAAAACAUUAUUAUGAUUAAAAUACUUUGUUUACAUAAUUUAUAUUAACAUCAAAUUAUAAUUGUUGAUAAAAGUUUUAUUUCCUAUAUGCUAAUUUUACAGUAAUCUAUAUAGAAAGGAUCACUAAAAUACAUUUCUAAAAAUAAAUGGAAAUAUAUAUAAGGGGAUUAAUUAACUAUUUAACACUUGCAUUUGAUGCAUUCAAAGUUUCACUAUUUGAUUCUCCCGAUUGCUGUUGCAGUAAGCAGGAAAUUUGGCCACAUUAUCUGAAAGUAAAUACCAAUGUUUAUAACUUUAUUUAAUAAAUUUUUAUUUAUUGUUAUUAACUGCUUUAUUACUAUUUAGUUUUUAUUGAGUAUGAUUAGAUAUAAACAAAUAUACCAUCGACAGAGACAUUAAAAUCAUCAUCAGUGUCAACAGGAUUUGGGAGAGGAGUAAAUUAUUCGGGGAUUUAGGAGAAAAUUCGUUGGGUAAUUGGUGGCAUAGGAUACACAAUAUCGGCACAUACUCCUCCUCCAGUACUCAUCCGUGCUCGCUUAUUUGAUGUCACAUCUUUUAUUGUUUUCUAUUUCAAAUUUUUCCACAAAAUUUUCAAGUUUUUUUGUGUCUCGUUUACUAAUUUUAGGAAAUAUAUUAAACACUUCAGUUAGAUUUUGCCACGUUUAAGUUUUUUCUUUAAAGGAUAUGGCAUUCGUUUUCUUUGAUUUGAUUAUAUCUCUGUACUUCUCAAUUAACUCCAUUAAAUAUUCUGUUUCUCGAUGAGAAAAAUCGGAUUGUCGACUUCGUUCUUGUUGUCUGCCAUGUUUAUAUCUAAGUGCAUAUUACGUCUUUCCGAAAUAUCCAAUCAAGUAACGUGUGAGAAAAUUUACUAGUAACGCUGGUAUCGAGAUUAUCGGAUUCACUAAUCCAGUUCUUAAUAUCUCAGGAUUUACUAAUCCUUCGCUAAAAUUUGUUGGUGAAAUCCUUGCUUCGGUAAUCCCGGUAUUAGUCUAAUCGCCGGAUUUACAUAUACCAUGAGUAGGCAAUGUUGGUGAAACACCCCGUUAGUGUUAUUUACAACAAGAAUAUAAAUACAGUUUAUCAUCUGAUUGGAUCAAACAUUUAAUUUAAGAAAAGCAAAUACUGUUUAACUAACGUACUGAGCACAAUGAAUGUCUGUAAGAGUUAUUCUAACAUGUUGGAAUAAAGAUUCCAAAACACAGCGUAUCACUAAUUUAAAUGCAUAAAGUCAUUCGUUUACGUUUCUCAAUGAGACGGCGGCCUGCUGAAUUUUGUAGUAACGAACAAAUUAAUUUCGUUGGGUAAACUUUAUCUGAAUGGCUGUAUAACAGAUGAUAAUUUUAAUUACAGAUCAUUGCAUAAUGAAACAGACAUUAUAAGAAGAUAAUUAUCAACAAUUUUUAAACGUUUAGGAAUCACAAUUGCAAAAUAUCCAUAUAUUUUUAUAGUCAUUUCUGUGUUACUUUCAAUUUUUUCAAUAACUGGAAUCAUUCAACUUAAGUAUAAGAGAAAUGUAAUCGAUGGUUUGAAAGCCGAUAGCGGGAAAGUUUAUUCUAUACAACGGUUUAUUCAAAAUACGUGGUAAUUUGCAUCAAUAUAUUAUGAAAUUAGAUGUACAGAAAUUCCGAGUGGAAAUAUAUUAUUUUUUUAUAAGAAAAAUGGAGGAAAUAUAUUGGAAAAAGAAAUUCUUCAAGAGUUACAAGUAGCUGAUUUCAUAUUUAAAAAUUGCACCAUUCAAAUGUUUAAUCAAACAAUUGGAUAUGGUGAUAUUUGCAUUAAUGUGCGUAACAAAUGCUACAAUAACGCAUUUCUCAAAAUUAUAUUGAUGCGAGUAACGUGCUAAAUAGAAAGAGAAAGUUCAAAUAUCCGGUGGACAUCGACACCUUGACCUAUUCUUAUCGAACAUACGUCACUAAUUUGGGAGGUGUUACAUCCGACGAAAACGAUUAUGUAAAAACUCAAAGCUGUUAGACUGUUCUACUUACUUGUUAGACUUGUUACUUGUUCUACUUACUACUGUUAGACUGUUCUACUUACUUGUUCUACUUACUUGACAAUUGGAUCGCCAAAGUGUAUAUACGAAUACAAAGUUAAAAGUUUCAAAAUAUCAAACUAUUAAUAAAUUAUCUUUGGUCCAUGGAAGAAGAUACUAAACUACUUCUGGACAAUUUAAAAUAUAUGAUAAUAGCCAUAGUGUCAUUUAUUUGUAUUUUCUCGAUGACGACACUCAUGAAUUUGAUAAGAAGCAAACCUUGGAUGGUAUUAGCAUGUGUUAUGUCUUUGGGAAUGGCAAUCAUAACUUCCUUCGGAUUACUGGGAUAUUGCGGAAUGGAAAACGCUUACACUAAUACUGUAUAUGUAUAUCUCAAUAUACAGGAGGAGCAUUUGAAAACAAUACUCUUAUUCUACUAUUUUUCGAUCCGUAUUAUUUUUGGAAUAGUUUCGAAAACAUUAAAGACAAUUUUCUUAAAAUAUUAUAAAAAUCUCUUGUGCAAUUUAAAAGAUUGUUAUAAAUAUUGAAAUCAAGAAAUUCGUUCCUUCUAGAUAUGUUUAAACUAAUGAUUAAUUUAUAAUAAUUAAAUGAUUUAGUUUGAGUUGGCAAUUACAUUUGUAAGGAAUUAUUUCAACUAAUUGUCUCGUAAACAUUGUCUGUAAUAUUCCACGAGUUAUAAACCAUUUUUUAUUUUAUAUUGCACACUUCUCACCAAUCAAAACCAUCAUGAAAUUAUUUAACCCAUUACAACAAGUAAAAUAUUUAGCAAUUUAUAACUGAUAAGUUUGGUUGCAAAUUAUCGUCUAAUACAAGUUUUACUUUAUUUGUAAUAAAUGAUUUCUGUUUACAACUUUAUUUCGUGAUUAAUGGAAAAUAUUGAUACAGAAAAUCAAAAUGAUUCUUUAAGAUAUGUACUUUUUUGAUUAAAUUUUAUUCAUAUAUUCUAGUAAAUAUUAUACUGUAUUCAAUAUUAAUGUGCGAACCAAGGGGGUAGAGCGAGAGCUUUUCCCCACUUACUGGCUUGGCUGUCAGAGAAUGGUGUCGGGUAUUCACCUCCCAACUGCCCGGUUAAAGUAAAUCAACCGACAUGUUGUAACAUAAAAGACAUAGCAUCUUUAUUAACUAGUAGUAGAUUAAAUUUUGACUCCAAUCUUACAAUCUUCUUGGCUUUUAUGACGAGCGGUAGCACAGUUCGUGGAGCGUAGCGUAGAGGCGACUGGUAGUCUCGGCAGCUAGUCCAGAAGUGUCUUCAUGGGCUAACGCUCCGGGCAAUUUACCGCCUUACAGAAAUGUUGACUAUUUACAAGAAUUAGUUCGCGACCGCAACAAUGGCUAUAGGACGGCUAAAGAUAUGAGUGGGGAGGAGUCGGAAGUUGUGAUCAGGUGUACAAAAGACUACACAGGUUUAAAUAAAUAACACAUUUACUAAACAAAUAAAAUAAUUAUACAUAAAGAUAAGAAAAAUACAACACAUGCGUAUCAAGAUAUAAAUAGAUAUGCUAUAUUCUAACCUAACCUAACUCAAAUGAUCGAGAGAGACCUCACGUUGGAGAGAGAGAUAAUUAUGGCAAGGGUUUACCUCGUAGGAAACGCUCUCAUAUUAUAGGGUGUUGAUAAAACGCUCUGUGAUUAUCGUCUUCUAAUCUGAGGUGUCCUAUGAAGACUAUGUGGAGCGAUGUCCUUCCCAGGUUGUUCGGCUAAGUCCGGUUACGGUGUAUGCUCCGUCGCUCCUAAUCUGUAGAGAGUUCUUUAUGGUGAAGUUCACUCAGAGGUUUCUUGGUUUACCUCUUCGAGGAGCAAUUCCGUCGUAUAUGGAGAGAGUAGAAAAUAUUCAAAGUCUUUUACCUUUUUAUAGAGCAGGGAUUAUGAGCUUCGUAGAUCCUGGGAGUGCUGGAAGAAUAGUUCACUGCGUUCUCUUCCCCGACAAUCGCUCUCGAGGUGUUAGAUCGUUCCCCUUUUAUACCCUUUAGCAUGGGAAAAAUCUGGGAUUUCGUUGACGUCUUUUGACAGUUUUCCCUGAUUUAUUACCGUCUCCCCUGCUGUAGAAAAAUUCAUUGCCUUAUUUGGUCAUUUCUCGUCCGGUCGCUUGGACUUAUGGGGGAUCACGGGACAUCGUGGUCCCUCGUCGAUGACCUUCGGACGAUGAAAGUCACCCUCACUUAUUACGCAGUUAGUGUGAAAACACAAAAUAGCGUUAGUAUUCUCACACUAAUAGAACUGAAUACAUGACGAUGGAGUUUAAAAUGCCACCCUGAAAGUACGUGUUUGAAAACGAUUGGUUUUUAAAUUUUUAAAAUUUGUAAAUGAGGAAUUUACCGGCACAAACAAUCACAGAAAUUUGAAUUUUUCUUUGAUGUUUUUAGCAACUUCAAAUAGUGUUUUUCGGUGAGUAGCCUACAGUUUUUCUAGUGCAAAGCUGAUUGUUUGUUUUCUUCAAUCUUAUUUAGUCGGAUUUCUUGUUACAUAUUGUCAGAAAAUGAAGCAAAUAAACGAAUCUAACGAUGCACAGAAAUAUACAGUUAUAUGCAAUACGAAUAAAACCUGGAGUGAGGGGAGACACCGUGCUACACAGAGACAUAGCAGACCAAACGAGACAGUGACCUAUGACCAAAAAUAUGUGAAACUCGCCAACAUAGUGCCGUCUAAUACAAAGUAUGUCUUAGUGACUUAGCACACAAGGAUUACAUUUUUACUUUCUUUCACACUCCCUCUAUCUCUGUGUGCUACAUACAUAACAAUGAUCAAUUAUUUCAAUUUAAUUUUAACAUUUUCACAAGUCUAUCAAACUUGGUUCCCGUUCUUGGUUUAGUUACGGCAUCUGUCAUCAUUAGGUCUGUCCUCAAAUAGUAAAUUACAAUUUCGUAUUUUUCAAGUAAUUCUCGAGUGAUGUGAUAGCUUACAUCGAUAUGUUUACUACGCUUGUGGAAAACCGCGUUCUUCGACAGUUGUAUUGCUCUUUGGUUAUCGCAGUAGACACAAGUGGGGUUUUUCACACAUCUUUUAAAACCCUUAUGUACUAACAGUCUUUUUAUGUAAGUUUUUUUUGCGAAGCUUCAGCUAGAGCUGAAUAAUUUGCUUCCAUGGUUGACAUUGCAACAGAUGUCUGUGUAAGGUUGCCGACGUUAAGGGGAGACAAUUUAUUCCACGUCAGAAUGAGCCUAAGGGAAACCGCGUAUGUGGGCGGUGGCGAAGGAGGCAAAUGAAGAACAAGUGUUUUACAAGAGAUAACCCAUUUAUUUGUUCGAAUUCAUGCUUAUGUGAGCCAUUGGGAGGGAGGAGGAGUCCUCUCCUUCCGGCCACUGGUCUCUGACCUACUUUCUUGUCAAGGAUGAUGUUACGAUCUGUUACGCGCUCGGUUACACGUAUGCGAGUGGAGGAGUGUCAGAGGGGUCGACGAUAAGACACGGAAUAGUCGGAUAAAGACACCAUGAAAAACAAACAAGAGUUUAUUUAACUACUUAACGAACUUAAAUUUACAAAACUCUAAUUUGUGUAUGAGAGAGAGAGUUUACAAUAAAGUGUUCAUACCUCUUUCAAUUAUUUUGGAGGGCUUUUACUUUCUGGAAGGUUGAUCGAGUUGAAAUACCAGGUCUUCCGAUAAAUGUUGUACGGUAGGUCAGAGGGAAGCGAUGGUCUGUCUUGGCCAUCUGUCGGCAACUCCCUGAUCAGUCACUCCCCAGAGAGGGGAAGGAGACGGGCUUUUAUACCUUUUUGGUGGGAAAAUUCGUCAGGUGACCAAUUGUCCUAGCAGGUGUGGGGUUAAAGUUGGUGUUCACAGACAACAAUCUGACGAAUUUCGCCGAUACUUAUAAACAACGCACAAUUUGAUCGUGAGAAUGUUUAUAGUUGAAUAGGAAGAGUUAAAAUCUUCUCAUGUAUUUGAUAUUUCGUUUCUUUAGGGUCAUGUUUCUUAGGUUAAAGGAAAUUAACUUUAUUAAAAAUUUAAAGGGUUAAAUGCAUUUAUAAUUUCGAAUUUCACAUCACUUUUUGCUUUCUUUAAAAUUGUACUUAGAUAGUGCAAUUUUAAAAUUUAGGUGGUUUCUUUCGUCUAGAGGUACAAACCUAUUAGAAUUUUCUCUUUUCAUUUUCAUCUCUCUCAUCUAUUGAUAAGAAACUAGGUGUACAUAUAAGUUUAUCCCAGUACGCGUUAAACUCGCGACAAUAUUUAUGGUUUAGGGUCAUUACCAGUGUUUUCUUAGGUCGUUUGUCAGGCUGGCUCGUUGAUUGGCUGAGAGUGAGUGUAAGUUGACAUGUUGUGAGAGUAGUUCAAAGUUCUUUGUGUUGGGGUCUUUUUUUGUAUGAGUGUAUGAAGUAUUUUUGGUGUGUCUUCUUGAGUGGCCGCUUGAUCUGAACUGCGUAGCAAUUGAUGAGUAUUUUGCUCAGAAUAUCGAUGAAAUCUUCGUGCUGAUGAUAUUUGUCGUAUAGUUCCUAUGAUGAUAGGUCAGCGUAAUCUAGGUGAACCUUUCAGUCAUUGACUUGCAUCGUUACAUUCUGGAAGGGAUGAAUCACUGUUCUUGUCGAAAAUAAAAUAUGAUUAGUAACACUUUUCGGAACGAAAUAUAUAUCCUUGGCUUGUUGAGGUAAGUAGAUAUACAUAAUAUAGGGUUUACUCUUUCUCUCAUUAUUUUUAAUACUCAAUAUUAUGACUAAUAUUAUCUAAUAGGAUACAAAACUAGUUUAACGAAUUAAAUUUAGCGAAUUUAAUAUUGAUGCUAUUUUGUUAUAAAAAUAGGAAUACGCGAAAUUUACGAAAACGUUCUUAUACAAAUGUAUAUGGGUUACAAUAGGGUAGUUAGAAUGCUUAGUCGUGAGACUAUUAAUAGGUUAAAACAACAGAGGGUUGGGGUCGUUGAAGGGAAUUGCCUCGGGGUGUCAUUUCCUGGGAUGUGCCUGGAUAUGUAUCAGUUGGCCUUUCCCUUUCGUUUAUACUGGUCUCUUCCGGGUUGUUUUCCGGUGUGCGUUGCUGACUCUUUGUUUUAGUUUUUCUGCGCUGUAUGUAGUAUCGGCCAGCACCAAUGGUGCAGAUUCCACUUAAUAUUGUACUAAGACAACUACAAAGUACAAUUAUCCAUGUAGAGGGAUAAGUUUUGGACGAAAAUGUCAGCGAUAGUCGUAUUAGUUUGUCUAGGUCAUAUUGGACGUUUGCUAAAGAACGAUCGGCCAAUUUAAUAUCAUCAUCGGAUGUCAAUUGGGUGUCUCUUCACUCUCGCAGGUGUUUCUCCAGUAUUUGCAUUUCCGUUUAAUUUAUAAGAUGGUCUAAUGGCGGAACUAUCAAAUGUUGCGCAAUCUCAUGUUGUAUUGUUGAUCAUCCUUGAAAAGGUGAGGUAAGAAUAAAUCCAGGUAAAUAACCUGUACACGCAUUUGGGAUAUUAAUUAUUCCGGUAUGAUUUAAUUUGUAAGUAGUGGCUAUAGAAGAAGGGUUUGUAUGCCCUGUUGGACAUCUAAUAGUUAGGAUGAGAGGAUUUUGUAUGGAAUAAAUUCAUGAUCCUUGUAGGUCAACCUUUUUAAAUAUCGGCGCAUACUUGAUAACGAUUUGGCGAGUGCAAAGGUCUUUGACUUUGGUUUCCAUGCCUGUAAAUAAGGCAUGUUAACAACUUUGUUGAGGGAAUCGUUGAAUAGGAACAUCCAAUAAACAAACAGGGAGACGGCCUACUUUGCACAUAGGUCGUAUCGUUGUAGUAACAUAUAGGAUUGUCUGUCCAUAGAUAGUGCGAUGAUUGGGUAUUCAGCUUGAAAUUGGAUAAAGGUCUUUAAAACAGGUACGUAGGUCGGAAACUUUACAAUUUUGUAUACAUCAAAAUAUUCAUGAGGAGUUAUUAUCGGUAUCUUAGCAAAAAUUCUCAACUUGUUAGGUAAAGCAACAGCAAUGGUAGUAAUCCAUUGGUAAUAUUUGAAUAACGUAUCUUGUUUAAUAGGUACGAUCAUGGCGUAUCCCUCUGGCAAUUGAAGUUGUCUGUUUUGGAGGGUACGUAGCAUAAUGUCGCGCGGGAUAAAAUAGGUGCUUAAUUGGUUAUGCUCCAAAAUAUCAAUGGCCUCUCUUAACUCUACCAGUUGGAAAUGGAACUCUUGGAUAGAAAAGUCGAUUAUUCGGAGAAUAGUUUCAAAUGCGAGGUCAUACCUGUAUAGAUUCAUUAGUUCUCUGAAGGAUUCUUGCCUUUUUAAUAGUACAUAAAUUUGAUGCCGAUUAUUUUUACUGAUGUUUAACGUAUCAUUUAAUAGGGUGGUUUGGGAAUUUAAUAAAUGUAGGAUGCCUUCGUUACGCUGUUUAAUUUGUGAAAUUUCGUCAUUUAAGGUCUGAAUAUCCUCCGAUGUGGCAGUGCCAAAGAGGAAUUUUAGGAUUUUUCCUCCUGCAUCUAUCAAGCCUUGCUUUUUCAUCUGUAAGGGUUGUAUGGUAAUUAGGUUAGUGAGCUCUUGAUAUUCUUUAUGGUAAUUAAGGAAAGAGGUUCUUACUAGUUCAAAGCCUUUUUCCGGGAGAUUCUUUUGUGUCUGUGGAUCUUUGUCCUGCGGCGGAAUAUGUUUGCGCUGUUGAGUCAUUGUCUCUAAAUAAACAAGAGAACUUGAAAUGAAUUGAAUUUGUCGCUCUGUGGUCUUUGUGUUGUAAGAGCAAUUAUAAUUACCAACACUUUUCUUACAAAUCACUAACAGGUUCUUUUAUUUAUGGAUCCCAAUUGAUUCAGGUACAAUCAUUACAACGUGAUGGGUACAAGAAAUCGCGGGGUGACGUUAUCUUGGCGCGUGACAAUAUGUAUCUUCUAUACGCGUGAUAAAAUCUAACUUAACCUAACUUAAACCUAGCUUAAUACUAAGGAAAAUAUAAGAAGGAUAGGAUAGCAAGAAGGAAAAUAGAAGGAAGAAACAACUUCACCCGGGACUUUCCUCGUUCUUUCUGAUAUGAUUUUGCGCUCUAGGUCGGACCCUUUUCUAUUGGCACUCUCUUCCCAACUCUUACUGUGUCCUCGGAUCUACUUCCUUAGUGAAGUAAAAUGUCUUCAGUUUUCCUGUCGUUGGGCCUUCAGCCGUGGGGACUCUGAUUCUCUCCAGUCCGUCGCUUGACCCUCCCGAGAAGUCUCUCUUUCUUCGGCUCUCAGUCAAGUCCAAAGUUCACCUCGACACGUCCUAUUCUCCUCGUGUCUCCCUCGAUUCUGUCCCUUCUUACCUCUUCCGUCCCCUCUACACACCCUUUUUUGUUCUCCUCUCUCAGAGGGGAGUAAUUUUUUGCACUAUUGUUCUUUGCAAUUCACAGAAUCGCUAAUCCCCCCUAGAGGCUAUAACGGUCAUGGAAUGUUCUAGAAUGAACACACAAAGAAAUCGAAGAAAUAGGGAAAGAAUAUUAGAACUAAAAAUAUGUAUAUACCAAUAAUAAUAAAAUAAACGUAUGCCGAUAUGGCCACCGGCCACAGCUCUAGGUGCUCAAAGGUCAUAUCGUUCACCAGGGUCCAAUGGCUGGUAGUUAUCAGAAAAUUUCCUUGGUGCAAGAACACGACUCCUUUCGAUAGGUCAUCCGUUUUUAAAGGAAGUGUCAAUGUCACGAACAGGCUUAGGACAAUACUAUAAAUUUGAAGAGGACUCAUGUCGUUGACCCGCCGGUGAUAUCUCUCGUGUAGGCCGCUAUGAUCAGGGUAGAUUUCUUUCCCUGCAAUAGGGGAAUAGUGUUAUUAAGUUUGCGUUUUUUUAGCAGUGGUGGUAACACGAAUACAUACAAAAUAAUUUGAAGCAUUAUUAGGGCAGGAGUAUCUAACGCGCUACCCGUGUCGCGAGUCGAUAA